UACGAAGGGGGCUAGCGUUGUUCGGAAUACUGGGCGUAAAGCGUGCGCAGGCGGUUUUGUAAGCCAGAUGUGAAAUCCCCGGGCUUAACCUGGGAAUGGCAUUUGGGACUGCAAGGCUUGAGUGCGGCAGAGGAGACUGGAAUUCCUGGUGUAGCAGUGAAAUGCGUAGAUAUCAGGAGGAACACCGAUGGCGAAGGCAGGUCUCUGGGCUGACACUGACGCUCAUGCACGAAAGCGUGGGA
rnacentral:rRNA from 1 species